rnacentral:pre_miRNA from 1 species
AUUUCAAAGCGGAAGCGCCAGCAUGGAGUCUGGGGUCAGUGGGGGACUCUGAGUCCCCACUCCCGCUGAUCCCAGACUCCAUGCUGGCGCUUCUGCUUUGAAAU